AUGCAUCUCUGACAGACCUGGAGUAGUUCAUGUCUGCGGCUAAGGUUUCCACUACAGAUGCAAGGAAAAGAAGGUCCUCACACUUUCUGUCUGGUUGUGGCAGCCAAGAUCAAAUGGGGGAAUGCAGGA
rnacentral:snoRNA from 1 species